rnacentral:rRNA from 1 species
CAACGCGACCCCAGGUCAGGCGGGGCUACCCGCUGAGUUUAAGCAUAUCAAUAAG